rnacentral:rRNA from 1 species
UGCCAGCAGCCGCGGUAAUACGGGGGAUGCAAGCGUUAUCCGGAAUCAUUGGGCGUAAAGCGCCUGUAGGUUGUUUAAUAAGUCUGUUGUUAUAGACUAGGGCUUAACCCUAGGAAAGCAAUGGAAACCACUAGACUUGAGUAUGGCAGGGGUAGAGGGAAUUUCUAGUGUAGCGGUGAAGUGCGUAGAUAUUAGAAAGAACACCGGUGGCGAAAGCGCUCUACUGGACCAUUACUGACACUCAGAGGCGAAAGCUAGGGUAGCAAAAGGGAUUAGAUA